GGGUAUCUUGUUGGAGAUCCCUGUGCACCUGGGGCUUUCUAAAGUUUGUAAGGCAUGUAUGCCAAUGAAUGAACAUAUGAAGUACAUGGAAGAGGUCAGAACUGGACUUUGGAUGGCAGGUGCUCGUCUGGUUGUUUCCAUUACCAAAGUCUAUGUUCCAGAGAGAAACCAAGCUCACUGGCAACCACGCAGUCUUCACAUGAAAAUUCAGAAGUACAUUUUUAAACUAUCCCAACCGCUUUCUUGCUUUCACUGACCAGCAAAUCCCUUAUUAUGAAAAAGAAGCAGAUUUCUGAUGCUGAAGGACACCGUCGUCGUGUUUCUUCACUUCUUCUAGCUGAAUCAUUGGGAACUGUACUUGUUUUUCAAACCAUUUGGCUACUGUGAGCAGCUGCUUCUCUUGGAAUGAGCGCCCAAUGAACUGAAGCCCAAUUGGCAAGCCUCUUUCUGAAAGAGCUGUAGGAACAUUUACGGCUGGCAGUCCUGAAACAAAAGAAGUUAUGCGCACAAAGGCUUACUAUUAAACAAAUCCAGUUAGAGUCAUUUCUGUAACAAUUCUGAGAGAACCAGAGCAGCUCAGCAGCAUUUUAAAAUCUAGCCCUACAUCACAAAGCAUUUUACAAAUGCACUGUACUUAUGUGUAAAGUUGUUAACUUACUACUGUAAUUUAACGAGAGGGGUGAGGUAUCUCAAUUCUGUGUAAGAGCUCAAGAGGCUGAAGGGGAUGGAUGUUACACGCAGGAGAAAACAUAGUUGAAUUCCUGUCUCUACUCACCGGCCAUGUUUGCAGCCUGUGUUAGGAUGUCAUCUUGUGUGCUGCGAGUUCUGUUGUCUUCUUUGAUGAAUUCCACAUAUGGGAUUGCAUCGCUCAGAGUGAUAGGAGUGAGUAAAAUAUCAAUACCACUUCCAAAAACCUUCACAAAGUCAUUGGCAAUGAGACGUCUGACUUUCUGUGCUUUGACAAAGUAAUCCUCAUAAUUCCUAGAAAGAAAUAUGGGUGUGAGGGUGGAAUGCUAGAAUUCUGAGAAUACAGAACAAUUUCUUAGUUACUAUAAAAGAGAGAAGCUCUAUAUUCCUCCCGAUUAAGAGGCUAACAUGUAUUUGAGUUUCUCCUCUACCACAAGCUUAGUCACCAAACACAGUGUUUACGUUCUCAGAGCCAUGAAGAUGUCAGAGAAAAAAGACAUAAGAAAAUUCUGUUGAAGUAAAGUGAAGGGAAAACAAAAUCCUAGUUUAAAAUAGCUGAAGAUCAGAGUAAUGCUCUUAUGGCCUUUCUGAAACUAAACUGUAUAUUGGAUUUCACUGCAGAAAGGUAUAGUAAAGUCUAGAAAUAAUAUAGAAGGUUUGCAGAAUAGACAUUAAACUCUAGGAUUCAAUCCAGUUAGACACUUAAUGAAUGUGAAAAACUCCCCUGAUCUAUGCAGACAUCCAAAUGGACUUAAAACCAAGGAUGUGUUUCUAGUACGCAUCUUACUAAACUAUUAUCUUUCCUCAAUUUUUUUUUCUCCUUAUAUUAAGUAUGGGGUUUAUGGCUUUCUAAACUGUCUUUAUGCAAUUCUAAAGCAGAAACAAGUUAGUUAGCUUUAUGUUUACUGUUCUUUUUAAUUUCAUAUGUAGAAUUGGUAAACAUGUAACAGAAGUCAUAACUUCACAGUUUAGUUUCUAAAGCAAUCGCCAACAAUUACUCUUUAAAAGAAAAGGAAUAAAACACUGAUAAAUCAAACCUACUCGGUUAAUUCUGAUGCAGUGUCUAUAAGCAACCAUCAUUUCAUGAAUGAUCACAUGGUUAUUUUAUAAAAAGCAAGAGCAAAAUAUUCUGUAAAAGGCAAUGCUUACAGGAAACACAGAUGUUUGUACUUUGUUUGUCUCAAGAAUGCUUGCAGAACCCUGGAUUUUGUUCUUCAAGAGUAACUUACUGUUGACAGAAACAGGACUCUCUUGUUCAGUCCUGAUGGAACACAAUCCUAUGCUCCUUCACAAAAAAGUGAGCUGCAUGAAAUUUAAAGCAGUCUUUGGAAAGCUGACCUGGACAGUUGUGACCAGAAUGAGCAUACUUGGCAGGAAUAUCAGCAUUCCAUAAAAGCUGCUUCUUAUCUACUGACUGACAACAUUCCUGUCUCUGAGAGCAACUACAAGUCUCUUCUGAUGAAUGCUGUUGCUGACAGAAGGAGCUUUAUCACGCACUUGUUUUGAGACAAAUUGCAGGACCAGUUUUUCUGUUAGUAUCUAAACAAAUUAAGUAGGACUCCUGCUUUCUCUCACAUACUAGGAUAGUAAAUAAGGAGUGAAAAUGGAGAUGAAAAAAGUUAAAUUGAUCCAUUCACCAGGCUCUCUACAUGAGUUGAAUUAAAAAAAAAACAAACCUGUCUUCUAUAAAAACAUUAGUUCAGACAUCUUUGCCUUCUCCCCCUUGCAUACUAAGGCAGAGAGCUAUAGUUAAUUUAACUGCUGUAUCAUCUGCCUUGCUCUAGAAGACCUCAGCAGAAUGCACCAGCAGUUCUUCUAUGCAGCUUUACUGAGAUUAACACCUACAGAACUACAAGAGGAUGGUUUUACUGUGAUUUCAGUGUCAUUCUACAGGAUAUAUACUUCCUUAUUUUAACUAUUAGGUGACAAUAAUCCUCUGUGGGGGGGGGGGGGGGGGGGGGGGGGGGGGGGGGAAAUCACAAAGGUGUUUUACUUAACUCAGAAGGCUCCCUGGUACGAGUAAGGAAAAACAUUUUCAUUCACUGCUAACAGUUCACUAGUUAUUACAUAGCUAAAGCAAUAAUAACCAUAGAAGUAGCUAGUAGCUUGAGGACAUUUCUUUCUCAUGUCUUGAUGAACAACUCUUUGCCAUUUGCUUAACAAAUUAUUAACUUAAUAAAUCUGAGUUUCAAGAUGAGUUCCACUUACUGUUUCAACAAGAAGUAGUUUCCUGAUAGAAUUCUUCCUCUUACAACAUCGCUAAAUCCUUCUCGUCGUGUUGCAGCAUACAUGCUUUCUGUGGACUUGCUCAUGUCAGAACGAUGUCCUGGAAAGAAAAGGCAAUUUAGAAACAGUUUUUGUGGUUUUUAAGAUCCAAUAACGUAAUGGUACCCAUAAUAGUACAAUAGGCUGCAGUUUGGUGCAGACUGACAUGCUGCUAUUCUGGAAAAAUCCACAAACCAUAUUCCUUCCACGUUCCAUCACAGAGAAGAUUUUAACCCCAGACAUUCACGUGUCCACAAGUAAAACACAAUAAAAUAUUUCUUUGUUUACUUCAGCUUUUAUGUGCACAGGGUUUUCCUAUUCCAGUCCAAAAGAACAUCACCAAACAUUCAACUAUGAAAUACAUACUAUCCAAACUGGUCAUUCUUAAUACCAUUUAGCAAGGUUUCUUGCAACAAUAACACAACAACAAUAACAAAAUAAUUUAAAAGGCCUUACCAUAUUCCAGUCCAUCAAACCUGGCCAUAUUUGAUGCCACUUCUGCAGUGCAGAGCACAUGAUAGCAGACGAUUGAGUAAUGGGUGUGUGGUAAACUCACUUCAACUACUUUAGCACCUGCGUUCUUAAAGAGGUCAGCAGCCUUUGACCAAACAGCCAGAAUUUCACUAGAAAGCCCUGGUACAUGGUACUCCUUAGAGAAAAACAAGAAUAAGUGAUGUUUACUUUUACUGGCAACCAACACAUAAAUACUAUUUGCUAAAAAUACUUUGAAACUAUGAACACUACGUGCUUUUAAAUACUUACUACAGCCUAUCACAUCUACUAAAUAUUAUAAAAGCAAGCAGUACUAAAUAAACUGGAAUCCAUCAUCUGAAGAAUAUUAUGUUCGCCUUACAAACUACAGCCCGUAACACAGUCCAUAAUGGAAUUUCAGCAGUUCUCUUCUGGAGAAAAUGUUCACUUGUUCAUCUAGUCAUAGAGACCACACCACAUGGCUCUAUAGUUCAUGGGUAGAAGCUGUUCAGAUGCAAGCCUUAAUACUAGGGGUAUUUUUAGCAGGGAAGAAGCUAUGCUCACGGCAAAUCAGCAGCUACUAGCACACCUCAGGCAAACAAGCAACCCACCAGAGAACUACAAUCACAAGGUUGGGAUAGGACUUAGGACAAGCAACACUCCUGUUUUAAGAUAUUUGCUU